rnacentral:rRNA from 2 species
AAGUGUUAAGUCUUUAAUUUUGUGCCUUAGCGUAACGCUUAAGUUAAGAACUUUAACGAAAAAUUAAAGAUUAAAUUAGUAUUGAAUGAAACUUUGUUUAUAUAUCGAUAAUGACGAUAUAUAUAUUAUGUCUUGACCAAUUACGUGCCAGCAGUCGCGGUAAUACGUAAGAAGCUAGUGUUAUUCAUCUUAAUUAGGUUUAAAGGGUACUCAAACGGUCAAUUAAUUAUAAAGACUAGAGUUAUAUAGAAGAAGGUAGUACCUUAAGUGUAGAGAUUAUAUUUGGUUAUACUUAAGGGACUUUGAAAAGGCGUAGGCAACCUUCUAAGUAAUAACUGACGUUGAAGGACGAAGGCAUAGGUCACGAACAGGAUUAGAUACCCAAGUAGUCUUUGCAGUCAAUGAUGAAUGCCAUAGGUUAGAUAAAAUUUUAGUCUAUAAAUGAAAGUGUAAGCAUUUCACCUCAAGAGUAAUGUGGCAACGCAAGAACUAAAAU